rnacentral:rRNA from 1 species
ACAUGGAUACAACACAACGUUAAUGCACCAGAUCCCAUUAGAACUCCGUAGUUAAGCGCACUUAGGCUAGAGUAGUACUGGGAUGGGUUACCGCCUGGGAAGUCUUAGUGUUUUACAUGCC